UAAUUGUGUACCAGUGGGUGGGAUCGGGCUGCAAGCCUCACGCACCAUGAGUCCGGAGUUGACUUCGAUUUCCGGCUGCGUCUUGUUGGUUAUGCGGCUUUCGCCUUCCAACUAAGAAGGGCUGCGUUGCCGCGGCCUUGUGUCCCUUCGAGCUAGAUGCCAACCCACAAAGCUCCAAGUCCGUCCGAGAAAAGUGACACUCCGGAUGCGAGAACGUGUAGUCCCAUCUGCCCAUGUACCAUACGGCGAGGUGAGGUCCGGGACGUUGUGAGUGUUGCCUGUUGGAGGAACCGAUGCGGAUGCUGUUGACCCCUAAAAUCCGUGACGGGCGAUGCCCACCACGAAGUUUGAUUGCAGCCAUGCAGCUGCUUCCGGAAGAGAUCAGCGAUGGACAGAUGGAAUGAAACCCUAAAAACCAUUUAGGAGGAGGAGGC
rnacentral:lncRNA from 1 species